rnacentral:rRNA from 1 species
UGCACGAGAGUGCGAUGGGGGGACUCCGAGUGUAAUCUUCCCACAAGGAAGGUUACUUUUCUGCACUGUAAGGAGGUGCCGGAACAAGGGGUGGGCAACACUGCUGCCAGCCGCCGCGGUAAUAGCAGGACCCCAAGUGGUAGUCGUUAUUAUUGGGCUUAAAGUGUUCGUAGCCUGCCAUGCAAGUCCGCUGUGAAAUCCACGCGCUCAACGUGUGGGCGUGCAGCGGAUACUGUAUGGCUAGGGACCGGACGGCGUUGAGGCUAUUCCCGGAGUAGGAGUGAAAUCCUAAAAUUCUGGGAGGAGCACCUGUGGCGAAAGCGCUCAACGAGUACGGAUCCGACGGUGAGGAACGAAAGCCAGGGGAG